UACGAAGGGGGCUAGCGUUGCUCGGAAUUACUGGGCGUAAAGCGCACGUAGGCGGAUUGUUAAGUCGGGGGUGAAAUCCUGGAGCUCAACUCCAGAACUGCCUCCGAAACUGGCGAUCUUGAGUUCGGGAGAGGUGAGUGGAACUGCGAGUGUAGAGGUGAAAUUCGUAGAUAUCAGGAGGAACACCGAUGGCGAAGGCAGGUCUCUGGGCCACUACUGACGCUGAGAAGCGAAAGCAUGGGGAGCGAACAGG
rnacentral:rRNA from 1 species